AGCAUCGUGGGCAGGAAGGCUCGAGCACUGUACGCCUGUAAGGCAGAGCAUGACUCGGAGCUGUCCUUCAUCGCUGGGACCAUCUUUGAGAACGUCCACUCCUCCAGGGAGCCGGGUUGGCUUGAAGGGACUCUGGAAGGCCGAACGGGACUGAUACCAGAAAACUAUGUGGAGUUUUUAUAGUCCAGGGCCGGACUUCAACUGGACUGGACUGGACUGGAGUUAACCAAACUAGAAUUGGCUGCAGAAGACAGAACAGACUUUAAUAGAUCUUAUACUGGACCGACCGGUUGUUAAAGAAGCCGAUAGACCGGCUCUUGAAAGUAGACCGUUUUGAAUUGAGGUGGUUCAGGAGCGAAGUGGAGCGGACUUGGAAGGGAGACUCAUUAUUGCACUGGAAAAAAAUAAACAUGCGUCCAACUGUG